UCCAUACACUUUAAGAUAUAAUGUAUAUGUGUAUCCUUGUUGCAUGUGUUUCAGUACAGUACUCCGUUUCAACUGCCAUUCUUUUUUUUUUUUUGAGUACUCGAUGAUUUAAGUGACGGUGUCACAUUUCCAUUCAUACAACAUUACACAAACAACUGGCAGGUCUUAUUUACUCUUGAGUGUGCUACAGAGCAUGUGACACUGCUUAUUUUUCUCUCACGUCUGACCUUUGACCGCCAGUAGCUAAAGCCACCCUCAUCUCCCACAAAAAAAAAAAAAACGGUCUGUUUCUUGCAAAAGAGUUAUGGGCUUAGCUCGAAAGUGAUGCACAUAAGCAUUCUUUGACUUUUUUUUUGCCCUACUUUCCUUUGUAUGUGCUCUUUUGUGACAGAGAGGAACAGACUAACAUGGGGAGUCAAGGAGAAAAGAGGAAAUCAGUCUUGUCAGCAAAAAAAAAAUAAAAGACACACCCUCAAGUCGCUUUACAAAAACAUCAAGUGACUCUCGAGCCCAAGUCGGGACGGGUCUUUACUAGCGUUUACAGUAUACUUCUCCAUGUGUACGAUAACUCUUUUAGCUUUUCUGUCCCAUGCACCCUACGAUCUUUUUUUUUUUUUUCUUUAAUCUCACGGCAAUAAAAUUCCUCUUGCACGCCGACUCUGUUAUCAGACGUGCACAGUCACUUUCAUUUGUUUGCACGGGAGACUGCGUUAAAUUAGCCCUUGACAAUUCCGACACCAGGAAUGAAAACAAUAUGCUCGAGGUUCCAGGAAUGUUGGCGCUCGGCUGUAUCCCAUAUGAGGCUAAUAAAAGUGCAGGAAGGGAACACUCCAGAAUGCUCGGCAAAGAAGUCCGGUUUAGAUAGGGAUGAAGUUUGUAAUCAACUUUGAUAUGAUUGCCAUUUAAGAGCACGUUAUGCAAUUGUGUGUGUGUUCCUUGGCGCUUAACACCUCCAGUGGUAAGUUACAGCAAGUUGUUUGCUAUUAUUCUUUAUUUUGUUUCUCUAAAAUUCUCAUAAGCUUUUAAAAUCAUUAGCCGCAAUAUGCGCAAUUACCUAAAUUGAAAAAAAAAAAGCACCUUCUCGACGCCCAUCCCAUCUGCCUUCACGAUUCACAUAUUCUUUGCAGGCAACCGAUACAAAAAUGUGACAAAACUAUCAACAUUAUCCAGAUUUGUGCAAAGAUUUAAAGGGUUGUUCCUCGGUUAAUAAUCUGGCUUUGCAUAAGCUUUAUAAAUAUCAACACUGAGUCAUGUUAAGUAACGUAUAACAAAUAACAAUAGAAAUAUACAAAACUGUCAGCAAUCCCCACAAACUAAUUGUACCCUCUGACAUCUAGUGAAAGUGAAUUUUAAAUGUCCUUCUUGGCACUGCAUGUCGCAGGCAAAGAUAGACAAAUAUUUGUAGUAAAUAAAUAUUUCUUGGGGCUAAUUAAGUGAAAUGGAAUAAUUUCCCACAGGCCACGGCACAGUGGGUGGGAAUCACAAAGUCAAGGACAAAACCGUUGCUGUCACCUGCUCGUUGGUUCUCUUCCAGAAGACAGCCAGGGUGAAGACGGCCGUGACGGGCGGCGCCAGUUCCAAAUCGUUUCAUACCUGCCGACCAGAAGCAAUUCUCUCUCGGAGGCUCGGGGCCGGUGCUUCUUCCAGAUGUCCAUGGUGAACAGUGUGGAGCUGCUGUUGAAGAUGGAGUUGGACGUGUUCUCACCGCUUGGCAUGAGCUCAAUGACGAGUUUGGGGAAGGCGAUGUUGGAGCAUCCCACCUCAGCUCCACACACCCGCACACAUUCCUCGGGGUCCACGC